CCAAGUCUUUGUGACUUGUGUGAAUAUCAUUACAAGAGGAUCAUUGCAUAGAUUACGGUAAAUGACAAGAACUUGGUAUUCUUACAUUUACAAUAAGGAUUGGGAUUGUGAAAUGAGAAUCAUUGAAGUCAUGUUCAAUUGAUAUACAUUUCACAAAGAGAUGACCAUAUGUAAACAUAGUGUGCAUACUUGGAGUAUGGCAUAGCUAUUGUUUAGAGAAACAUAGUAUGCGUGCUUGGAGCAUGGCAUCACUACUGUUUCAAUUCAAGUAUGAAGUUAAUUAAUCGAAACAUGAAUAAUGAGUGAUCAAUGUGGUGCUUAGAUAAAAGGUGUUUUAUUUAUGCUCAAAGUGUUGACGCCAUAUAGGACUAGUAUUAUUUUGUGUUUCACUUUGCAUGUUUUGACUUCCAGAAUAACUAGUUCAUUCUCCCGAAUGACCAAGUUAUUCAAACCAUCCACAUUCGGUCAUAUGGAAGUUAAUUAAUCGAAACAUGAAUAAUGAGUGAUCAAUGUGGUGCUUAGAUAAAAGGUGUUUUAUUUAUGCUCAAAGUGUUGACGCCAUAUAGGACUAGUAUUAUUUUGUGUUUCACUUUGCAUGUUUUGACUUCCAGA
rnacentral:lncRNA from 1 species